ncrna:unclassified sequences IS605-orfB-I RNA
UCCGGAUAAACUUGUAUUCUCCCAAGAGAGAGGAGCAAGUCACUUUACGGAAUUAAAUUAAGCAACACAUUUCAGGAUUGAUAAAGGCUUACAUACAAGUGAAAUCCUGAAAUGACAGGAUAGCCGUACGUCCUUCAAUAUUCUAUAUUGUAAAAGUAAUCUUGAAUAACUUUAGUUAGCUUUUCAAGUUACGGUUUA